UGGAGCAUGUGGUUUAAUUCGAUGAUACGCGAGGAACCUUACCUGGGCUCGAACGUAAGAUGACUGUAGGUGAAAGCUUACAUCUCUUCGGAGCAUUUUACGAGGUGCUGCAUGGUUGUCGUCAGCUCGUGCCGUGAGGUGUCGGGUUAAGUCCCAUAACGAGCGCAACCCCUACCUUUAGUUGCCAUCAGGUAAUGCUGGGGACUCUAAAGGAACUGCCUACGCAAGUAGUGAGGAAGGCGGGGAUGACGUCAAAUCAGCACGGCCCUUACGUCCAGGGCUACACACGUGCUACAAUGGCCGAUACAGAGGGCAGCUACCUGGUGACAGGAUGCAAAUCUCCAAAGUCGGUCUCAGUUCGGAUCGGAGUCUGCAACCCGACUCCGUGAAGUUGGAUUCGCUAGUAAUCGCGCAUCAGCCAUGGCGCGGUGAAUACGUUCCCGGGCCUU
rnacentral:rRNA from 1 species